GACGAACGCUGGCGGCGUGCUUAACACAUGCAAGUCGAGCGGUAAGGCCUCUUCGGGGGUACACGAGCGGCGAACGGGUGAGUAACACGUGAGUGAUCUGCCCUUCACUUCGGGAUAGCUUCGGGAAACCGAAAUUAAUACCGGAUAUGACCUGUCACUGCAUGGUGGUGGGUGGAAAGUUUUUUCGGUGGAGGAUGUGCUCGCGGCCUAUCAGCUUGUUGGUGAGGUAAUGGCUCACCAAGGCUUCGACGGGUAGCCGGCCUGAGAGGGUGACCGGCCACACUGGGACUGAGACACGGCCCAGACUCCUACGGGAGGCAGCAGUGGGGAAUAUUGGACAAUGGGCGGAAGCCUGAUCCAGCAACGCCGCGUGAGGGAUGACGGCCUUCGGGUUGUAAACCUCUUUCAGCUCCGACGAAGCGCCCGUACAGGGUUGUGACGGUAGGUGCAGAAGAAGGACCGGCCAACUACGUGCCAGCCGCCGCCGUAACAC
rnacentral:rRNA from 1 species